rnacentral:rRNA from 1 species
GACGAACCGAGCGAACGUUGUUCGGAAUCACUGGGCUUAAAGGGCGCGUAGGCGGUGCGGUAAGUCACCUGUGAAAUCUCCUGGCUCAACUGGGAGCUUGCAGGCGAAACUGCCGUGCUGGAGUGUGGGAGAGGUGCGUGGAAUUCCUGGUGUAGCGGUGAAAUGCGUAGAUAUCAGGAGGAACACCUGUGGCGAAAGCGGCGCACUGGACCACAACUGACGCUGAGGCGCGAAAGCUAGGGGAGCAAACAGG